rnacentral:rRNA from 1 species
UACAUAGGUGGCAAGCGUUGUCCGGAUUUAUUGGGUUUAAAGGGUGCGUAGGCGGCCUUAUAAGUCAGUGCUGAAAUAUCCCGGCUUAACCGGGAGGGUGGCAUUGAUACUGUAGGGCUUGAGUGUAGUCGAGGUAGGCGGAAUUGACGGUGUAGCGGUGAAAUGCUUAGAUAUCGUCAAGAACACCGAUAGUGUAGACAGCUUACUAGGCUACAACUGACGCUGAGGCACGAAAGUGUGGGGAUCAAACAGG